AUGAUUUGCCUGGCUCCCUGGAUGCCAUCUAAGAAAAUGAUUUCAAGGUUGCAAUCAGUCUUCUUAUAUGGCACCUGAGGAGUCAGGCAAACAUAA
rnacentral:pre_miRNA from 1 species